CCUACGGGUGGCAGCAGUGGGGAAUAUUGCACAAUGGGCGAAAGCCUGAUGCAGCAACGCCGCGUGAGCGAUGAAGGCCUUACGGGCGUAAAGCUCUGUCCUCAAGGAAGAUAAUGACGGUACGUGAGCAGGAAGCCCCGGCUAACUACGUGCCAGAAGCCGCGGUAAUACGUAGGCGGCUAGCGUUAUCCGGAAUUACUGGGCGUAAAGGGUGCGUAGGUGGUUUCUUAAGUCAGAGGUGAAAGGCUACGGCUCAACCGUAGUAAGCCUUUGAAACUGGGGAACUUGAGUGCAGGAGAGGUGCGUGGAAUGCGUGGUGUAGCGGUGAAAUGCGUAGAUAUUAGGAGGAACACCAGUUGCGAAGGCGGCUUUCUGGCCUGUAACUGACACUGAGGCACGAAAGCGUGGGGAGCAAACAGGAUUAGAUACCCUUGUAGUC
rnacentral:rRNA from 1 species